rnacentral:rRNA from 1 species
GACGAACGCUGGCGGCGUGCUUAACACAUGCAAGUCGAGCGGUAAGGCCCUUUCGGGGGUACGACGAGCGGCGAACGGGUGAGUAACACGUGGGUGACCUGCCCUCAGCUCUGGGAUAAGCCUGGGAAACCGGGUCUAAUACUGGAUAUGACUCCAUGACGCAUGUUGUGGGGUGGAAAGCCUUGUGCGGCUGAGGAUGGGCCCGCGGCCUAUCAGCUUGUUGGUGGGGUGANGGCCUACCAAGGCGACGACGGGUAGCCGGCCUGAGAGGGCGACCGGCCACACUGGGACUGAGGACACGGCCCAGACUCCUACGGGAGGCAGCAGUGGGGAAUCCUGCGCAAUGGGCGAAAGCCUGACGCAGCGACGCCGCGUGAGGGAUGACGGCCU